ACAAAGCGGUCUCUCUCUCUCUCACAUACACACACAUUCUAAUCUCCGUCUAUCUUUCUCCGUGUCUGUACUAGAAAUCUAGAACUACAAAGAAUCGCUCUCUUUUUUCGUUUCCCUCCACAGAUCUCUGAAAUUCCCUCUCAUCAAACCCUAAUUCUGGGUCGAUCCUAUCGGCCUCGUUAUUUAUCCAUCGCCGAACUAUUUUUUUUCUUCCAAUUUCUGUUGUUUUUAUUGUUUAUUCAAACUCCAUAAUCUGCACUCAUCGAUGAUUCUGGAACCUUCAUGUGUCUCCCUCUUCUUCAUGGGCCCGUGCCACCCUUACGAUGCCUGAGCUGCGUUCCUGGCCACGCAGAAACGGCCUUGUAGACAACGCAAACGCCAAUCCGAUCACUUAGGCAACCUCGCCGCCGGCCGCCGGAACCCGUCGGAGGGAGCCAGCCGCCGCCGCUCCGACCGGGAGGAUCCGCAGGCAGAACAACGCGUUUGCCAUCGCCGCCGACGAAAUCGUGAACGCCAACGCCGACAACGUUCGUGGAACGAGAGCGAGGAAGGUGAAAGACGAUCAAGGAGUGAAGGAGAAUAUUAAUAAGAAGAAGGUUUCGGGUAGGGUUUUGGAAGCAAAAGGUAUGGAUGAGUUUGAUAGUGGAGGCCGCAGUGGCGAUAAGGCUCCUGGAGCUGAAGACGAAGGCACCACACCUCCCAUUCCAGAGAAGGUUCAAGUUGGUGGUUCCCCGUUGUACAGAGUUGAGAGAAAACUUGGGAAGGGAGGAUUUGGGCAGGUUUAUGUUGGUCGGCGGUUAGGAGCUGUGAAUUCUAGUGAACGAACUGGUUCUGGUGCUGUUGAGGUAGCCUUAAAAUUUGAGCAUAGAAGCAGCAAGGGGUGCAAUUAUGGACCUCCAUAUGAGUGGCAGGUUUACAAUGCAUUAGGCGGUAGUCAUGGUGUUCCGCGAGUUCAUUACAAGGGACGGCAUGGUGACUACUAUAUUAUGGUCAUGGAUAUGCUUGGCCCUAGUCUGUGGGACGUUUGGAAUAACAACAAUCCUCACAUGAUGUCUACUGAAAUGGUUGCAUGUAUUGCAAUUGAGGCUAUCUCCAUAUUAGAGAAGAUGCAUUCUAGAGGAUAUGUGCACGGUGAUGUAAAACCUGAGAACUUUUUGCUGGGACCCCCUGGAACUCCUGAUGAAAAGAAGUUGUUUCUGGUUGAUCUUGGAUUAGCAACUCGGUGGCGUGAUAGUUCUACUGGCCUUCAUGUUGACUAUGAUCAACGUCCAGAUGUUUUUAGGGGCACAGUUCGUUAUGCUAGUGUGCAUGCUCAUCUUGGUCGAACAGGUAGCAGGAGAGAUGACUUGGAAUCUCUUGCUUACACUCUUGUCUUUCUUCUUCGUGGUCGGCUACCUUGGCAAGGAUAUCAGGGAGAAAAUAAAGGGUUUCUUGUCUGCAAGAAAAAGAUGGCCACGUCUCCAGAAACUUUGUGUUGCUUUUGUCCCCAACCAUUUCGGCAAUUUGUGGAAUAUGUAGUGAAUUUGAAGUUUGAUGAAGAACCAAAUUAUGCAAAAUAUAUAUCCCUUUUCGAUGGAAUUGUGGGCCCAAAUCCAGACAUCAGGCCAAUAAACACUGAUGGUGCUCAGAAGCUUAUAUGUCAGGUUGGACAUAAGAGGGGGCGAUUGACCAUAGAAGAAGAUGAUGAUGAACAACCAAAUAAGAAGGUUCGAAUGGGAAUGCCUGCUACACAAUGGAUUAGUGUUUACAACGCUCGUCGGCCAAUGAAGCAAAGGUAUCAUUAUAAUGUUGCUGAUGUGCGGCUGGCCCAACACAUUGAUAAAGGAAAUGAAGAUGGUUUAUUUAUCAGCAGUGUGGCUUCUUGUUCUAAUCUUUGGGCACUCAUUAUGGAUGCUGGCACUGGUUUCACAGCACAAGUUUAUGAACUCUCUCCCUUCUUCCUUCACAAGGAAUGGAUUAUGGAACAGUGGGAGAAGAAUUAUUACAUAAGUGCCAUAGCCGGGGCUAAUAAUGGAUCCUCAUUGGUUGUAAUGUCUAAAGGUACCCAGUACUUGCAGCAAUCCUAUAAAGUCAGUGAUUCAUUUCCAUUUAAGUGGAUCAACAAAAAAUGGAGAGAAGGAUUUUAUGUCACUGCUAUGGCCACUUCCGGCUCUAGAUGGGCAAUUGUUAUGUCUCGUGGGGCUGGUUUUUCAGAUCAGGUUGUGGAACUUGAUUUCUUGUAUCCCAGUGAAGGUAUUCAUCGAAGGUGGGAUAAUGGUUAUCGCAUCACCUCAACUGCUGCAACAUGGGAUCAAGCUGCUUUUGUUCUUAGUGUCCCAAGAAGAAAACCAGCUGAUGAAACUCAGGAGACACUCCGCACAUCUGCUUUUCCUAGUACUCAUGUCAAGGAAAAAUGGGCAAAGAACCUCUAUAUUGCAUCUAUUUGUUAUGGGAGAACAGUGUCAUAAACUGCUGAAAUUGAGAUUUCUGGCUGACAUCAUUUUGACCACUGGCACAAUCCUGCUUACUCUUACAUCUUCUAGUUGGGAACCGAAGAUCCUCUCUGACAAUUUUCUGAACAAUGCAGUUCAGCAUUAAUGUAAUGAUGACUUUGAAGUUUGAAAUGUACGUCCCUAUUAUUCUAAUGACUUUUUACUUCCUGUUUUUGAUGUCUACAUGAUGGGGUUCUCCUGGUCAGUCAUUCUACAUGACUGGGUGCUCAUUGUAUUUUAUUCCUGUUCUAACUCCUAACAUUGCAAGGUGCACGUUUGAUUCUUUUGAGAAUUUGGCUGUCAUGGAAGCCAUUCUUGGGAGAUAAAUAGUUACCUCUUCAUUAGUGAUAUGUGUAAUUCCCGGGAGUUACUUGGACAUAUAAAGCAGGUAUUUAAUUCUGCAGCUAUUAUUAUUCAACUUCUUAUCUUGAGCAGCCAGCUGAAAUUUUCAUUCAAUUUAAUGUAGAUAUACUAUAUAUGGAUGAAACAUGCAUGAUUGCAUUGGCUGUUACCUCACAAUUUUCUUGCUCUCAAUAGAAACUCAGGUUGUUGGGAUGGUACAUUUAACUUCUGUGGCUGUGGCAACUUGCUUAGUUUGGUUGGUCCUGGCAAUUAUUAUGUUGCUGGAGCAACCCAUACGUCAUGGAAAUCAGAAGCUGUUCAAGGAAAUGGUAUUUUUGGAACUAUUUGCCCAAGUGAUUCUCCUUUUUUCACAUAUUUGGAAUUUUCUUGGCAAAUGUAGGGGGGAUGGAUUCAUUUUAUGUUCUAUUAAUUUGUCAAAAUUGCCGUAUUUUGAAUCUCAAAUUACUAUAAUUAUUGGAGAUCUACUCUCUUUUUUCUUUUCCAAAAUGCAAUAUUAUUUUUAAGACACGUAA